AUUGAACGCUAGCGGGAUGCUCUACCCAUGCAAGUCGAACGAGUAGCGGACGGGUGAGAAAUAUAUCGGAACCUGCCCAGUCGCGGGGGCUAACUACUCGGAAGUGGGCUACUACCGCGUACUAUUGGAUCGGCCGAUAUCGGAUUAGGUGGUUGGUGGGUUAAAUGCGCACCAAGGCAACGAUCCGUAGCUGGUGUGAGAGGACGACCAGAGACACUGUGACUGAGACACGGCCCAGACUCCGACGGGAGGCCGCAGUGGGGAAUUUUGGACAAGGGGGGAAAACCUGAUCCAGCCAUGCCGCGUGUAUGAUGAAGGCCUUCGGGUUGUAAAGUACGGUUGGCAGAGAAGCGGUAUCUGCAGAAUGAGCACCGGAUAAGUACGUGCCAGCAGCCGCGGUAAUAC
rnacentral:rRNA from 1 species